rnacentral:rRNA from 1 species
CCUACGGGCGGCAGCAGUGAGGAAUAUUGGUCAAUGGACGAGAGUCUGAACCAGCCAAGUAGCGUGAAGGAUGACUGCCCUAUGGGUUGUAAACUUCUUUUAUAUGGGAAUAAAAUGUUCCACGUGUGGGAUUUUGUAUGUACCAUAUGAAUAAGGAUCGGCUAACUCCGUGCCAGCAGCCGUGGUAAUACGGAGGAUCCGAGCGUUAUCCGGAUUUAUUGGGUUUAAAGGGAGCGUAGGUGGAUUGUUAAGUCAGUUGUGAAAGUUUGCGGCUCAACCGUAAAAUUGCAGUUGAAACUGGCAGUCUUGAGUACAGUAGAGGUGGGCGGAAUUCGUGGUGUAGCGGUGAAAUGCUUAGAUAUCACGAAGAACUCCGAUUGCGAAGGCAGUUCACUGGACUGCAACUGACACUGAGGCUCGAAAGUGUGGGUAUCAAACAGGAUUAGAUACCCUAGUAGUC